AACGAACGCUGGCGGCAGGCUUAACACAUGCCAGUCGAGCGCAUCCUUCGGGGUGAGCGGCGGACGGGUGAGUAACGCGUGGGAACGUGCCCUCUUCUACGGAAUAGCCUCGGGAAACUGAGAGUAAUGCCGUAUACGCCCGCAAGGGGAAAGAUUUAUCGGAGGAGGAUCGGCCCGCGUUGGAUUAGGUAGUUGGUGGAGUAACGGCCUACCAAGCCGACGAUCCAUAGCUGGUUUGAGAGGAUGAUCAGCCACACUGGGACUGAGACACGGCCCAGACUCCUACGGGAGGCAGCAGUGGGGAAUCUUGGACAAUGGGGGCAACCCUGAUCCAGCCAUGCCGCGUGAUCGAUGAAGGCCUUAGGGUUGUAAAGAUCUUUCAGCUGGGAAGAUAAUGACGGUACCAGCAGAAGAAGCCCCGGCUAACUCCGUG
rnacentral:rRNA from 1 species